UACGUAGGGUGCAAGCGUUGUCCGGAUUUAUUGGGCGUAAAGAGCUCGUAGGCGGUUUGUCGCGUCGGAUGUGAAAACCCAGGGCUCAACCCUGGGCCUGCAUUCGAUACGGGCAAACUAGAGUAUGGCAGGGGAGACUGGAAUUCCUGGUGUAGCGGUGAAAUGCGCAGAUAUCAGGAGGAACACCGAUGGCGAAGGCAGGUCACUGGGCCGCAACUGACGCUGAGGAGCGAAAGCAUGGGGAGCGAACAGG
rnacentral:rRNA from 1 species